rnacentral:rRNA from 1 species
AGUGAACGCUGGCGGUAGGCCUAACACAUGCAAGUCGAACGGCAGCACAGUAAGAGCUUGCUCUUACGGGUGGCGAGUGGCGGACGGGUGAGGAAUACAUCGGAAUCUACUUUUUCGUGGGGGAUAACGUAGGGAAACUUACGCUAAUACCGCAUACGACCUACGGGUGAAAGCAGGGGAUCUUCGGACCUUGCGCGAUUGAAUGAGCCGAUGUCGGAUUAGCUAGUUGGCGGGGUAAAGGCCCACCAAGGCGACAAUCCGUAGCUGGUCUGAGAGGAUGAUCAGCCACACUGGAACUGAGACACGGUCCAGACUCCUACGGGAGGCAGCAGUGGGGAAUAUUGGACAGUGGGCGCAAGCCUGAUCCAGCCAUACCGCGUGGGUGAAGAAGGCCUUCGGGUUGUAAAGCCCUUUUGUUGGGAAAGAAAAGCAGCAGGUUAAUACCCCGCUGUUCUGACGGUACCCAAAGAAUAAGCACCGGCUAACUUCGUG